rnacentral:rRNA from 1 species
CUAAUACCGCAUACGAUCUAAUCUCGGCAUCGAGGAUAGAUGAAAGGUGGCCUCUACAUGUAAGCUAUCACUGAAGGAGGGGAGUUGCGUCUGAUUAGCUAGUUGGAGGGGUAACGGCCCACCAAGGCGAUGAUCAGUAGCCGGUCUGAGAGGAUGAACGGCCACAUUGGGACUGAGACACGGCCCAGACUCCUACGGGAGGCAGCAUG